UACGUAGGGGGCUAGCGUUGUCCGGAUUUAUUGGGCGUAAAGAGCGUGUAGGCGGCCAGGUAGGUCUGCUGUGAAAACUCGAGGCUCAACCUCGAGAUGUCGGCGGAAACCAUCUGGCUAGAGUCCGGAAGAGGAGAGUGGAAUUCCUGGUGUAGCGGUGAAAUGCGCAGAUAUCAGGAGGAACACCGGUGGCGAAGGCGGGUCUCUGGGCCGAAUGACGUGACGCUGGAGGAGCGAAAGCGUGGGGAGCGAACAGG
rnacentral:rRNA from 1 species